CCCUAUAGCUAAAUCUCUCAUUCCUCUUCUAAGCUUCAUUCACAGAAAACCCUAGACAUCUAUCUCACUGUUUCUCAUUCAUCGAUCAUCAUCAACAAUCUUUCCUACCAGUUUGUCUAUAAAUAUAUAUAUAUAUAUCUGCUUCAACUUGAAGCUUCGUUGUUAUUAUUAUUCACAGCAAACCCUAUCUGGUCUAUCUCUCUGCUUAACCUGUCGUGAAAGAAGAAGAAGAAGCGAGCAGUAUGAGUUCUUCAAGCAUCAACAUCCAGAGCAUUUUGUCCCCUCAGCCUCCUCGUACUCAGGGCUCUAACAUCAGACCAGGCACUCGCAUCCCAAACACCAAGGAUCAUUUUUCCAAGAGUCGAUGAUGACUCAUUUCAUAAUUCCAUAUUUUCUCAGAUCAAUCUUGCAGAUGAAGCGAACGCCAUUAUAUUGAUUCUGCAGUUUAAGUAGUUGCUUAUGUGUGUGUGUAGGAUACAUCAAUAUGAUUGUAUUAUUUAUUAUUCUUUAUUUGUUCCUUUUUAUGUCUAUAUGUUUGAUUUGAUUAUUUGGUGGGUACCACAAACAUUGGAGUUUAAUGAUGUUCAUUUGAAAGCUGCUUAAUCCGUAAAUCUGUUUCCUUGUACUUUCUGUUUGUUUUUUGUGAUCAUUGGGAAUAAAAUAAGACAGUUCCGAUCCCUUCAUG